GCACAGUGCUGCCUGGCUGCGUUCGUGCUGCUUGGGUUUCCAAGGCGGACGUAGUCUUAGCUUGCUGGUAUUGCGCACGCUUUUACUGCUGGUAGUGCCGAUUGCCUCGGUUGCUCCUUCUGAACCGUUGAGUUGAGGCCCACUUCGGUGGUCACCUGCUUGAUGGGGAGGUUGUGUAGUGGCUGGGGUUCAUGAGUCCGGCCUUUGCGAGGGAUGCUUGUGUCUGCAUUCGAGGAAUCUUCUGGCAGGUCCAGGGUGAACUUGGGUGUUUGGUGCAGUGUAUACUUCGUUGGACUUGUUUUCGGCUUGAAAGUUGACCACCUA
rnacentral:rRNA from 1 species